AUGCCAGCGAGGCCAUGCUGGGGAGGCUGGAGGCUCUGGAGGCCGAUGUUCGCUUCCUCUGCACCGAGCUGGGGGCUGAGAAGCUCCUGUGGAGCAGCCGGUUCCUGGAGCUGCUGCGGGAGCAGCAAAGCCUGCGCCAAAGGCUGCAGGAGCUGCCGUGGCACUGGAACGGUGGGGACAGCCCCGAGCUGCUGGGGGAGGCAGAGGAGCAAAGUGCCAGUGGGAGUGAGGGAGAGAGCCCAGAAGGACGCCAGUGGAUGGAGGCACCUCGGCAACCAUGUGGCUCCAUCCAGCCUGGUGGCAGAAAAAGCAAGUGAAGGUGUGAACAAGGCCUCAGCAGUUCAGGAAGGAUCCACACAUUCCUCCUGCCCAGGCCCUUCAGGACCCAGGCCAGGCUGCUGCUGUCCCAGCUGUAUCACUCCACCCCAGCCCAAUGCAGCAGAACUGCAGCCAUUUCCCAGGAGCAGGAACCAGCUGGAGGCAGGGGCUGGCUCUGAUGAAGCCCACAGAGGAGCAUCCCCCUGCUCUGCUGCUUGUCGGGACGUUCCAGGAACAAGGAGUCUGGUCAGCACUGGCUUCAUCAUCUUGCACUGGGGUGACAGAUUGCAAAACUCACCCACCGACUUCCUGACUGGCCACAUCCAUCCUCUCAUGAGCUGCUCCUGCACAUGUCGCAACCCUGGGCAGCUCCUUGAGACAGUGGCCAAGGGCAAGCAGCUCCCCAGGCAUGGCUGACAGCCCCUGGCAGGCCAGAACAGCUGGGGCUGGGAGCAGCAGCCCCACAGGGAGCUGAUCUGAGGGGUUGCCCCAUGCCCAGCCCUGGCCCAGCCCAGGGGCUGCACCCACUGUCAAUACAGGCAGCUGCUCUCCAUCUCUUGUGUCUGCCUGGUCUUUCCCAGCAGAGCUGGGACAGCCACACCCGGGCUCUUUGGGGCGGGGGGACAAGAUGAGCUCUUGCUGCAGCAGAGCAGGGACCGGGCUCCAGCAGCAGGCAGGAUGGGCAGGGAUCUGUUCUCCAAACAUGCCCAUGCAGCUCCCACGUGCAGGGAACUGAUGCAAUGGGAAUAGCAGCAGCCUGAGUCACCCUGCACCCACCCGGCCCCGGUGUGGUGGCGGUGGGACAGCCCCGUGCUGCUCAGAAAGAGCAAAGGAAACCAGGUCCUGCAAAGGAGCUGCUCUCAGGGCAGGAGUCCUGCUGCAGUGAAACCCCAGCCCCAUGCUGCACCCCCCCUUCCCUGCAGCAGCCACGGCAGCGUCCCUGCUGAGACCGUGGGAGCACCAGACAAUGAUGUCACAAGGUCCUGCUCCUGCUGUAGCCACCAUCCACCUCUCCGUGGCAAUCCUUGGGCUGGAAAUCCCCAGCCAGCCCACAGGGAAGUGGAGGGUGACAUCAAGCAGCAUUAGCUGCAGCCACCAGCUCUGCACCCCCCACUGGAGCAGCCCCUGACCACAACACCUGCAGCAAGGCAAGAGUCACCACACAGGCCACAGAAACUUUUCUCCAGCCACCACCCCAGCCAAAGCUCCUGACCUAUUGCUUAACCUGAGGCUGUAUUUACUCCCACAUGCUUGUGCAACACUGCUCCCCAGUCCUGGCCAGGAGCCUCAGUGGUUUUGUCAGAAGGGCUGAGCAAGCUGCUGCUGCCUCAGACAAGGCUUUGGCUUCCAGGGGCACCCCCUGACCUUCAGGAGCACUGGGGAAUUCAGGGCCCUUAGCAAAGUGUGUGAGGGAACUGAAAAGCAUCUGGCUGGAGGGCAAGUGCUGACAGCAUCUGCACAGGUAGCACCACCAUCACAACCCCAUCCCAUCCCAGCCUCCCCCUACUGCCCUGGGGCAGCACCCAGCUCCUCCCCAGCACCCUUCCAUUCUCUUGUACGUAACAGUGACUGCUUCCUGCAGCCCUGGCUCACAGGGAGGCUGUGCUGCAGCAGCAAUUUGGGAUACAGGGUGCAGAGCUGCUGCCAUGCUCGGUACAUCCACUCCUCUUCAUGGGGAGAGCAGCAGCCCAGCAGCCUCAGCACUGGGGGAACACGGGGUUGAUGCUGAAUCUGCUCCUCUGUAUAGCACCUACAUCACCACAUCCCAUCCCCUAUCCCACAGGAACCUUUCCCAUUCCUGCCUCUGAAAAUGCUUUAAAAUGUUAGAACGGAGCUAGCCACAUCCUGGAAACCCUCAGUGGGAGGAACCAGCUGAGCUCAAAUGGAAGUUCAGGGAGCAAGGGCAGCAGGACCAGGGAGAGGCAAGCCAGCCCUGGAGAGCAGCCUGGGCUGCUUGGAGGAACCAGCCUCUCCUCAAGCUCUGCACGAGGCUGCAGUGGCAUGCAGCUGACAGGAUGAGGGCUGGGAAGCCCCUGAGCACAGGAAACCUCCAACAGGCCCAUGUGUGACCUCCUUCCCCCCAACAGCACAGUGAGCUGAGACACAGAUCUGACCCAGUUUGGCUCAGCCAGGAACACAAAGCAAACACCCAGCAGUCAUAGCAGGCUCUACCCCCAAGCCCCAGGAAGUUCUGAGUCAAGUGAUGCACCCCAAAAACCUCACCUUAACAGCCUCAGCAGGGUUGCCAAGGUGUGCAGGCAGGCAGCCCCACCACUCCUGGCACUGACGAGUGUGUAGGGCAGAAACAUGCAGCAGGGACAGUUCCAAUCAGCAUUUCCAUUUCCCAAAUCUCUGGUACCACACAGAACUUAGUGUGAAUGAAGGAGAAAAUUCAGAGCACAGCAGUGGGAUUGUGGCUGGGCUUGCUGGCUGCCCCAGCAGCACACAUGGCAGUUUGGGGGAGUAACUUUAACUAGAUCUGUGCUAGGGCCUGACCCUCCCACACCACUCCCUGAGCCCCCAGGACUGUCACUGCAAGAGAAACAUCACAACCAAAGUCAGUCUGCUCCAGCCCUUCCUCUCCUGGUGGUGGCAAUGAGCCUCUGCACUUCUGCACUGAUUCCUUUAAUUGUGUCCCACUGCAGCUUUGAGAGAUGCAAAAACAAACAUUUACCCCCUCUACGCAACCUGUAAAAUUAGUUACCUGUUGUCUUUUACAGCAACACCUGUAAAAUCCUGCAGCAUUUUUCAACUGCAGAUCCCAUUACAGACAGCAGCAAACUGCUCACGUGGUUAAAGGUGUGCUCAGAUCCCUGACACACCACUCCAUCCCCUCCCACCACACACACACACAGCCACAUGAGCUCUGUCACUGCAGUGACGUCCUCAGAGGCUUCCUCUCCCACAGUCAAUAAAGACUUCAGACUGUGAGAUUGCAGGUUUGUUUUGAAAUGCAGCUGGUCUCUGGGAGCACUUGCUUCCCUGGUUUCUGAUUAACUAGAGUCAUUGCCCUGUGGUAAAUGAAGAGCACAAGUUUCAAUACAGACCAUAAAAUUAUUUAACCAGCGAGAUAAGAACAUGCUGUGCUGCAGUGGAACAGAUGGGAG
ensembl:lncRNA